AUGCAGCUGACAAGUCCCAAACAGGACGAAACGGCGUCCUGGAU
rnacentral:hammerhead_ribozyme from 1 species